CGUGUCAGUCGGUGUGAGCAGAGGGCUGGCGGGUGGGCAACAGGGGCUGAUGAGAACCGACCCUUAGUCACGUUAGGGAGGCUGCUCUAGCCGAGACUGAAAAUGGCAGUUUAGUUUCCUCCUGCAAAACAAAUACAGCGAUCAUGGUGGUUAUUCUGUCUGCCAGAGUCCCUCUGUCCGUUUUCCUGGCUGCUGCCCUAGACUGAAAGGGCUAACCCUGGACGCCUCCACCCUGGGAUUUCCUGGCCUCUGGUCUCUGGCAGUGAGCUCCCCAGCCCCAUCUUCGCUGUCUGUGUCUGCAGCCAUGCUCCAGGGUCAGGACGAUGAUGGACUAGCCCGCCGUGGAAACUGUGAGGCCCACUGCACACGCUUUCAGAAGUUUCUCAGUCACGGUGUCCCAUUGUGGCGGUGGAACAGUGAGACACACGGCGUGUGUGGGGAUCAGAGGGCAAUGUUUCGGGAAUCUCCUCCUGCUACCUGCACACCUGAGGGAUGCGGGGCAGACGGUCUGGCUUGGUAGCAAGGGGCUCAUGCUUGUGGAGGCAGAGAACAGCUUUGUGGAGCGGGUUCUUCCUAUCCGCCGUAAUGUGCGUUUGAUCCCAGGUUCGCCUGGCAACAGCCUUUACUCUGAGGCAGCUCUCCAGCCCGAAGAUGUUAUUUUUGCUCUAGAGAAGCCGAGGUGAGGCUCGAAGGACAUCUGUGCCGUGUUGGCUGACCGCCGCUGUGUACACUAGAAGCUUCUACGAUGUUGCAAAGCCUCGGAGGACACUUCAGCAGGUGUCCCAGAAACCUUAACGAUGCUAACCUCUUCCCGGUUCCUGUUCAUUGUUUCUAAUUGUGUUGGGGCUGUUUUCUUUCGGCAAUGAUAAUUAAACACACCCUAAUACUGUGCACUCCAAGCCAAGCCUCCCAGUAGUUAAAAGAGACAUUGGUCGCCAAAGGGCUCAUCUAUAGGCAGGUAUUUA